rnacentral:lncRNA from 1 species
UGUUUGCUAUAAUGACACCUGAAUUUGCAUAACCAUGAGGGGUUGCUAUUUGGUUUAUGUUUCAUUUAUCUCUCCAUUUAAAGGUUUAAGCUUUAACAUCAGGUUCCUUGGCUUGUUAGAAGUCAUCUGACACAACUAAGGGCCCUUUUUUACCUCUUUGUAGGGAUGUUAUUUACUGGCCAUUGGCACUGGCAGAAUUCUUAGCAUGAAAUUAUUAUUACUUCUGUAUCAGCAGAGAUGUGUGUGGCACUCUGAGGAAUCUGUCAAGAUGAAGUCUCUGCUUCUGCAAACUCACAGCCUGGAGUCCUGAUCCCGUAAUUUACUCUGCAUGGUCCUUUCCUCAUGGAAACCCAAGCAGUCAAGAGCAGGACAUUGGGACAGUGACACAGGAAGGGAAAAGGAGGACUCAGUACGGUGGCACCUGUCCAUCUCGUGAUGCACAGAACUGUUUUCCAUGCUGCUGUGUGGGCUGGAAGCAGCUGAGGGCUAGGAUGCUCCCUGUGCACUCACACAGCUCCUGGCAUGGCACAGCUUCAGUUCUGGUAGCAGACAGGCCAUUGCUACAAUCUAAAUGCCUUUAAAAAAAAAGGUGGUCGUAGCAGGAAGAAGUGCUGGUUGGAAUCUCUGAGCUUCUAAUACAAUGUUGACUAAAAUGCAAUGCUGACUAAAAUCUCCUGCAUGUGAGUCUUGUCCCUUCCACCACAAAGGACUGGUCACAUUUUCCAUUCUUGGCUCCAUGUGGCUGCUCUGAACAUCCCAGGUUAUCUCUGCACCCACCAGCUGCCUUUCCUACUGCUUGGCUCUCCAGGCCUUCAUCUCUGCUCAGCGCCCAUGCCAGGGUCACUAAGGCAGUUAGCUGAGUUUUAAGAUACCUCUAUUUUUGGAGGACUUUUUAUUUGGGAGCCCAGGAAGUAAGAGUUCAGCUCUCUCUCCCUCAGCCAUGACUCUGGGGUAGGAUUUUCAGGGGUAGGAGCACUGCAGAAGUCUUGAGUAGCCUGGAACUCCCAGAUAGCACAGGAAAAACCUAUUAUGGGAAAGCUGCUAAUAGCAGAAGUAAGCUCUUAGCCACAUUUUCCACUGGUGUUACAGACUCUGGAGAACAGCUUGUUUCGACCAGGUUUCCAAACUGCUUUUUGGUGUUCAUCCAAAGACUUGGGGCCACACAUUCUCUUAUGGGGGCUUUUCACAGCUGCCUCUCCUUGGAAUGAUUGCAAGGGGUGCUGAGUUGGGUAGUUGGGUGGGAUGACCUGUUGCUCUCAUGUUUAUUUCUUUGGAGUGUCUCUGUCAAGAAAGACUGUAAGACAUAAUAAUUAAAAUACUUUUAGAUCACCAUAAUCUUGUCAAACUUCUUAUUGUGAUCCCUGUGAAUGUGACAUUUGUGAGCUCAUU